UCCCACUGACAUGUAGUGAAAUACAGUGUGUCUAAACUCUUCAAACUUGAACUUCUGGAAACAUGCUGUUUUACUCCAAUGAUAACAAGGCUGUGAUAGACCAGGUUGCCCCUUCUUUCGCUUGGUAGGUGUUGGCCCUGUGUUGUCCAUUGCAGCUCCCAAUAUAAAUUUGGGCAAGAAAGAUGCACAUUGAACACAGCAAAAUAUGCCUGCAAAAUUUCUUUUGAGAAAUCAGCUGACAGUCUUAUGAGAACUCCCCUGUAGACUCAAAGACUCAAGAUUCAAUGGUCUGAAGGUGGACAUGAUACCAACAGGAACUAACAGCCUGAAGACAGACACAAUGCCGGCAGAAGCUAAGUCUAUGAGAUUAUCACAACUUGGCCCCUAAACUGUCACCCCAAGAAACCAGCAGUAGCCAUGGAAACCUUAGGAACCCUCACUGACUUCAGAAGACAGUGGAGUGGCAACCUCCUUCAGAAUACAGCACCAAGCAGUCAUCUCUUUUGGAGGAAAUAGUAGAGUGAGCUGUAUGAAUUCCUGUCCAGCAGGCAGGAGGGAGAGAGAGAGAGUGAGAAGGAGGAGAGGAAGGAGGAGAACUGAUCCCUGAGCAAUGAGAAAAACCAAGACAUUUAGGUAAGGGAACCCUCAGAAGGACUGGAAAUCCUACAAGUGAAGUGGGUAGACCCCCCAAAGCAUGGCCAUUGGGACUGUGAUGUAGUGGGACAUAAUUUUUCAAUUACUGAGUAUUGAGAUUGAAAUACUUAGUUUACAAAGUUAAGAAUAUGUUCAGCCAGAAAU